rnacentral:rRNA from 1 species
UACGAGGGGGGCAAAUGUUGUUCGGAAUCACUGGGCGUAAAGGGAGCGUAGGCGGGUUUUUAAGUUAGGUGUUUAAUACCGGGGCCCAACCCCGGACCGGCACUUAAAACUGGGAAUCUUGAAUAGUGGAGAGGUCAGUGGAGUUGGGGGUGUAGCGGUGGAAUGCGUAGAGAUCCCCAAGAACACCAGUUGCGAAGGCGGCUGACUGGACACAUAUUGACGCUGAGGCUCGAAAGCAUGGGGAGCAAACAGG